rnacentral:rRNA from 1 species
AGAGUUUGAUCAUGGCUCAGAAUCAACGCUGGCGGCGUGCCUCAGACAUGCAAGUCGAACGCGAAAGUUCCCUUCGGGGAGCAAGUAGAGUGGCGCACGGGUGAGUAACACGUAGGUAAUCUACCUUUGGAUGGGGAAUAACCCCGAGAAAUCGGGGCUAAUACCGCAUAAUGCAGCGGCACCUAAUGGUGACAGUUGUUAAAGCGGGGGAUCGCAAGACCUCGCGUCUAAAGAGGAGCCUGCGGCGGAUUAGCUAGUUGGUAAGGUAACGGCUUACCAAGGCGAUGAUCCGUAGCCGGCCUGAGAGGGCGGUCGGCCACACUGACACUGACAUACGGGUCAGACUCCUACGGGAGGCAGCAGUCGGGAAUUUUGGGCAAUGGGCGAAAGCCUGACCCAGCAACGCCGCGUGAAGGAUGAAAUCCCUCGGGAUGUAAACUUCGCAAGAACGGGAAGAAUAAGUAAGGGUUAAUAUCUCUUACGAUGACGGUACCGUUUGUAAGCUCCGGCUAACUCCGUGCCAGCAGCCGCGGUAAUACGGGGGGAGCAAGCGUUGUUCGGAUUUACUGGGCGUA